AACGAACGCUGGCGGCAGGCUUAACACAUGCAAGUCGAACGGGUGCAGCAAUGCAUCAGUGGCAGACGGGUGAGUAACACGUGGGAACCUUCCUAGGGGUACGGAACAACUCAGGGAAACUUGAGCUAAUACCGUAUACGUCCGUGAGGAGAAAGAUUUAUCGCCCUUAGACGGGCCCGCGUCGGAUUAGCUAGUUGGUGGGGUAACGGCCUACCAAGGCGACGAUCCGUAGCUGAUCUUAGAGGAUGAUCAGCCACACUGGGACUGAGACACGGCCCAGACUCCUACGGGAGGCAGCAGUGGGGAAUCUUGGACAAUGGGCGCAAGCCUGAUCCAGCCAUGCCGCGUGAGUGAAGAAGGUCUUCGGAUUGUAAACUGCUUUUGUUCGGGAAUAAACCCUUUCACGUGUGAGAGGUUGAAUGUACCGAAAGAAUAAGGGACGGCUAACUUCGUG
rnacentral:rRNA from 1 species